rnacentral:rRNA from 1 species
AGUGAACGCUGGCGGUAGGCCUAACACAUGCAAGUCGAACGGCAGCACAGUAAGAGCUUGCUCUUACGGGUGGCGGGUGGCGGACGGGUGAGGAAUACAUCGGAAUCUACUUUUUCGUGGGGGAUAACGUAGGGAAACUUACGCUAAUACCGCAUACGACCUACGGGUGAAAGCAGGGGAUCUUCGGACCUUGCGCGAUUGAAUGAGCCGAUGUCGGAUUAGCUAGUUGGCGGGGUAAAGGCCCACCAAGGCGACGAUCCGUAGCUGGUCUGAGAGGAUGAUCAGCCACACUGGACCUGAGACACGGUCCAGACUCCUACGGGAGGCAGCAGUGGGGAAUAUGGGACAAGGGGCGCAAGCCUGAUCCAGCCAUACCGCGGGGGUGAAGAAGGCCUUCGGGUUGUAAAGCCCUUUUGUUGGGAAAGAAAAGCAGCAGGUUAAGACCCCGCUGUUCGGACGGUACCCAAAGAAUAAGCACCGCCUACUUCGUG